rnacentral:rRNA from 1 species
AUUGAACGCUGGCGGCAGGCCUAACACAUGCAAGUCGAACGAGUGGCGGACGGGUGAGUAAUGUAUGGGAACGUGCCUGAUGGAGGGGGAUAACUACGGGAAACGGUAGCUAAUACCGCAUAACAUCAGAUGGGCCGAGGUGGGAGUAGCUAGUAGGUGGGGGAAUGGCUCACCUAGGCGACGAUCCCUAGCAGGUCUGAGAGGAUGACCAGCCACACUGGAACUGAGACACGGUCCAGACUCCUACGGGAGGCAGCAGUGGGGAAUAUUGGACAAUGGGCGAAAGCCUGAUGCAGCCAUGCCGCGUGUGUGAAGAAGGCCUUCGGGUUGUAAAGCACUUUCAGCGGGGAGGCGUUACCCGAAGAAGAAGCACCGGCUAACUCCGUGCCAGCAGCCGCGGUAAUUC